GCAGCGGGUGCAGUUGCGGUUGC
rnacentral:siRNA from 1 species